rnacentral:rRNA from 1 species
UAAAUACUCUCUAAUGACCGAUAGUGAACAAGUACCGUGAGGGAAAGGUGAAAAGGACCCCUGUUAGGGGAGUUAAAAGUACCUGAAACCUGUUGCCUACAAGCGGUCAGAGCCCCUAUUGGGGUGAUGGCGUACCUUUUGCAUAAUGGGCCUAGGAGUCUAUGUCAGUUGCGAGCUUAAGCGUUUACGACGUGGAGGCGAAGCGAAAGCGAGUCUUAAUAGGGCGGUAGUAACUGGGAUAGAACCCGAAGCGGAGGCGAUCUAGCCAUGGCCAGGCUGAAGCAUCGGUAACACGAUGUGGAGGGCCGAACCCAUUAACCUUGAGAAGUUAAGGGAUGAGCUGUGGUUAGGAGUGAAAGGCUAAUCAAGCCCCGUAAUAGCUGGUUCUCUCCGAAAUAUAUUUAGGUAUAGCGUCAAAUGCUGAUUACCGGGGGUAAAGCACUGAAAAGGCUAGGGUUCACACCAGAAUACCGAACCUUAUCAAACUCUGAAUACCGGUGAGUGGAAUUUGGCAGUCAGUCAGUGGGGGAUAAGCUUCAUUGGCGAGAGGGAAACAUCCCAGACCAUCGAAUAAGGUCCCAAAGAUAGUGCUAAGUGGUAAGAAGGAUGUAAGUUUUCAUAGACAAUGGGGAUGUUGGCUUAGAGGCAGCCAUCAUUUAAAAAGUGCGUAAUAGCUUACCCAUCGAGAGAAUUUGCGCCGAAAAUGAUCGGGACUAAGUACUACACCGAAUUUGUGGAAUUAGUAAUAAUUGGUAGGAGAGCGUUCCAACAUCGUAGAAGGCGGAGCGGUGAGCGACGUUGGAGAGGUUGGAAGUGAGAAUCUAGGCAUGAGUAACGAAAAGCAUGGUCAAAAUCCAUGCCGCCGUAAGGAUAAGGUUUCCUGGGGAAGGUUCGUCCGCCCAGGGUUAGUCGGGAGCUAAGGCGAGGCCGUAAGGAGUAGUCGAUGCACAACGGGUUAAUAAUCCCGUACCGGCUUGGUAAUGUUUGAGUUGCAUAUUGACGGAUGAGUGGAUGCUGGCGAGGUGAUGAACGUCCUCGUCUAAGGUGUUGUAAGGCACUGAUGGGACUUUGAGGCUACGGCCGAGGGGGAUCAGCAAUAGCUAAUUCCAGGAAAAUUUAUGCAAUUAAUUAUCAGGUUGCCCGUACCGCAAACCGACACAGGUAUCCGGGAUGAGUAUUCUAAGGCGCGUGAGUUAAAUCUCUCCAAGGAACUCGGCAAAAUGGCCCCGUAUCUUCGGUAGAAGGGGUGCCAACGCGAGUUGGUCUCAGUAAAGAGGCCCAACCGACUGUUUAUCAAAAACACAGCUCUCUGCCAAGUCGCAAGACAACGUAUAGGGAGUGACAUGUGACCAAUGCGGAAAGGUGAAAACUGCUUGUGAAAGCUUGUGGUCUAAGCCCCCGUGAAUGUCGGCCGUAACUAUAACGGUCCUAAGGUAGCGAAAUUCCUUGUCGGGUAAGUUCCGACCUGCACGAAUCAUGUAACGAGUUGGGUGCUGUCUCAGGGAGAAGCUCAGUGAAAUUGUAGUCGCGGUUAAGAUGCCGCGUACCCGCAGAAGGACGGAAAGACCCUAUGAACCUUUACUGUAAACUGAUAUUGUCGUUUGAUUUUUAAUACGUAGGAUAGCCGGGAGGCUUUGAGUUGUCACUCCAGGGUGAUGAUGAGCCGCAAUGUGAAAUACCGGUUUUUAACUAUUAGGCGUCUAACCACAUACCGUAAGCCGGUUGUGGGACAGUGUUAGUGGGUCAGUUUGACUGGGGCGGUCUCCUCCCAAAAAGUAACGGAGGACUGCGAAGGUUCCCUCAGACCGGAUGGUAAUCGGUCGUCGAGGAUAUGGCUAAAAGGGAGCUUAACUGUGAGACCUACAAGUCGAGCAGAUGGGAAACCAGGCCCAAGUGAUCCGGCGAUAGCUCGUGGGAGCGUCGUCGCUUAUGGGACAAAAGGUACUCUAGGGAUAACAGGCUGAUUUCGCCCAAGCGUUCAUAGCGACGGCGAAGUUUGGCACCUCGAUGUCGGCUCAUCACAUCCUGGGGCUGUAGAAGGUCCCAAGGGUUUGGCUGUUCGCCAAUUAAAGUGGUACGCGAGCUGGGUUCAGAACGUCGUGAGACAGUUCGGUCCUCUAUCCUCUGUGGGCGUUGGAAAAUUGAGGGGUUCAGAC